AAGAGGCCCAAUUCUCUUUGCUCAAACGAAUGAAAAUAGCCAUCAGCAUCGCCCAAGGUUUAAGGUAUCUGCACACCGAGUCGCAGCCGCCUUUCGCUAUAUCAGAGCUGAACUCCAAUUCAGUAUACGUUAUAGAAGAUUCUACCCCCAAGGCUGACGACGUCGUCUACUGAAGCCCCACCAGCGACGCGACGGGAGAGCUCCGGCCUGUACGUGGGUGUGGGAAGACAGAUCCGCAUCGCCAGCCUACACAAGGCCAUGUCAACGCCUCGACGCAGGGUUCAUCAUCCGUCUUCGUCGGCUUUCAGGUUCUAAAUGAGAAGGUAAGGAUGUACUUGAGCUGCAUGAGAAGACCUAGUUCC